ensembl:lncRNA
GGUAGAAAUGGAUUAAAAUGGAUUUAAGUUUGCCUGCAUUAAAGUCCCCUGCCAAUUGGAGCGUCGCUUCUGGAUGAGCCUUUUUUUGUUUGCUUUUGGCCUUAUACAGCUUGUUGAGUGCGGUCUUAGUGCCAGCAUCAGUUUGUGGUGGUAAAUAGACAGGUACGAAUAAUAUAGAAGAGAACUCUCUCGGUAGAUAGUGUGGCCUACAGUUAGAGAGGGAGAUAUAAGACUCCAGCUUCAGUGAUUUUUGCAAUUCGUUCCAAUCAUUGGCAGCAGAGAACUGGAAGGAAAGGCGGCCAAAGGAAGUGUUGGCUUUGAGGAUGACCAGAAAAAGCACAGUGAGUCGCUGCCCCUGUAUAAACAGGCUAUGAGAGUGUAUGAGGACAGUCUGGGAUGCUCACACCCACAGGUCAGAGAAACACUGAAGAACCUAGCUGUACUCAGCUAUGUGGAGGAAAGCAGCAGAGCUCAACAAUCCAUGGAGAUCAAAUAGGCGGAGCAGUCUCUGGUUUGUGGAAGGCCCAUGUCGACACUCGUCCAGUGGGGAUGGGCCUUUAGCCUGCGAGGGCCCACACCUCUCCCACAUGCCCGCAGGUGACCCCUCUCUAUUCCGCCCCUUCCAAGAACACAGGUGGUGGAUCUCAUUUUGCCUUUCAUUCAUCCUGUGUGUCCAUUUCCUCGUCUCCUUCUAGAAAUGCAUUGGUGGAGAAGGUCAGUGGGAGGGACCUUGCAUCUUCUCCUCGAAUGCAUUUUCAGGAGGUGGAAAGGAUAGAGGACAUGAAGAAUCAAGGAAGUACAAUUGAAGGCCAUCCAUGGUUCGCAAUCUGCUUUCCUGAGAAGAACAACGUCCAUCACACUGAAUAGUUUGUUAUGCUGCUUUGAGAUGGAACAGUGUAGUGGUGUCGCCUGUCAAGAGUACUGUAACUAACUUCUGAAAUAAAUUAUGUUUUAAUGUCUGUUCAAUGGCUAUAUUGUUAAGUGUUCAAAAAAUAAAUAUAUAUUAUAAAUGUAAUCAUGAUGUAACAUCUGCUUCCAGCUCACACUCUCAAACACAUAGAUACCCUGAAUGCAGCUCACUCUCCAGAUCCCAAUCACCGGAAUUCUGAUCACCUGUUCACACACCUGUAUGUCAUUAUCACACACUAUUUAGUUCAGUUCUUUGCACCCAAUCAUUGUAGGUAUUGUUUGUUUUGUGACACACUUCUAGCCGGAGCGCUGGUUUUCCUGUAAUAUACGCCUCCCCUGUACUUUCCUGUUAUCAACCUAUUGCCUGAUCUUCUGGAUGAUGUUAAUAGCUUUUUCCCUGCCUGUACUGUUGCCUUUUUGGACCCCCUGUGUUUGACCUGCUUGACCCUGGACUCAGCUACCUGCCUCCUCCUGUGGUCCUUUACAAUAAAUACCUGCUGCGCCCUGUGCUUGAAACCAGCUCUCUCUCUCUCCCAUCGUGUUUAUUACACAUUAAAUUACGUCAACACCAGGUUAUGAAGGUUUUUUAUUGCAUAUUCAAACGUUUCCAAAUUACCACUGCUCUGUCUUCUGUCAAAAUUAAAUUUCAAUUGUAUAAUGAUAAAUCAAUAUCACCAUCGACUGCAAGUCCUCUGGCUGAGUGUCUGCUAAAUUAC